rnacentral:rRNA from 1 species
GAUGAACGCUGGCGGCGUGCCUAAUACAUGCAAGUCGAGCGAACAGAUAAGGAGCUUGCUCCUUUGACGUUAGCGGCGGACGGGUGAGUAACACGUGGGUAACCUACCUAUAAGACUGGGAUAACUUCGGGAAACCGGAGCUAAUACCGGAUAACAUUUGGAACCGCAUGGUUCUAAAGUGAAAGAUGGUUUUGCUAUCACUUAUAGAUGGACCCGCGCCGUAUUAGCUAGUUGGUAAGGUAACGGCUUACCAAGGCAACGAUACGUAGCCGACCUGAGAGGGUGAUCGGCCACACUGGAACUGAGACACGGUCCAGACUCCUACGGGAGGCAGCAGUAGGGAAUCUUCCGCAAUGGGCGAAAGCCUGACGGAGCAACGCCGCGUGAGUGAUGAAGGGUUUCGGCUCGUAAAACUCUGUUAUUAGGGAAGAACAAAUGUGCAAGUAACUGUGCACGUCUUGACGGUACCUAAUCAGAAAGCCACGGCUAACUACGUG